rnacentral:rRNA from 1 species
GAUGAACGCUAGCGGGAGGCCUAACACAUGCAAGCCGAGCGGUAGAGUUUCUUCGGAAACUUGAGAGCGGCGCACGGGUGCGUAACACGUGUGCAACCUACCUUUAUCUGGGGGAUAGCCUUUCGAAAGGAAGAUUAAUACCCCAUAAUAUAAUGAUUGGCAUCAAUUAUUAUUGAAAACUCCGGUGGAUAGAGAUGGGCACGCGCAAGAUUAGAUAGUUGGUGAGGUAACGGCUCACCAAGACAAUGAUCUUUAGGGGUCCUGAGAGGGAGAUCCCCCACACUGGUACUGAGACACGGACCAGACUCCUACGGGAGGCAGCAGUGAGGAAUAUUGGACAAUGGGUGAGAGCCUGAUCCAGCCAUCCCGCGUGAAGGAUGACGGUCCUAUGGAUUGUAAACUUCUUUUGUACAGGGAUAAACCUACCCUCGUGAGGGUAGCUGAAGGUACUGGACGAAUAAGCACCGGCUAACUCCGUG